CAGUAGCCGCGGUAAUACGAAGGGUGCAAGCGUUACUCGGAAUUACUGGGCGUAAAGCGUGCGUAGGUGGUGGUUUAAGUCCGUUGUGAAAGCCCUGGGCUCAACCUGGGAAUUGCAGUGGAUACUGGGUCACUAGAGUGUGGUAGAGGAUAGUGGAAUUUCCGGUGUAGCAGUGAAAUGCGUAGAGAUCGGAAGGAACAUCUGUGGCGAAGGCGACUAUCUGGGCCAACACUGACACUGAGGCACGAAAGCGUGGGGAGCAAACAGGAUUAGAAUACCCCCGUAGUCCCUGUCUCUUAUU
rnacentral:rRNA from 1 species